UGCUACGGCAGUGGCGCAUUGACACACCCAAUCCCUCCAUCUCGGAAGUUAAGCAACGUGUGGUGCGGACAGUACUUGGAUGGGAGACCAGCAAGGAAGACUGGAUGCUGUAGCCG
rnacentral:rRNA from 1 species